rnacentral:rRNA from 1 species
AUUGAACGCUGGCGGCAGGCCUAACACAUGCAAGUCGAGCGGUAGAGAGGUGCUUGCAUCUCUUGAGAGCGGCGGACGGGUGAGUAAUGCCUAGGAAUCUGCCUAGUGGUGGGGGAUAACGUUCGGAAACGGACGCUAAUACCGCAUACGUCCUACGGGAGAAAGCGGGGGGAUCUUCGGACCUCGCGCCAUUAGAUGAGCCUAGGUCGGAUUAGCUAGUUGGUGAGGUAAUGGCUCACCAAGGCGACGAUCCGUAACUGGUCUGAGAGGAUGAUCAGUCACACUGGAACUGAGACACGGUCCAGACUCCUACGGGAGGCAGCAGUGGGGAAUAUUGGACAAUGGGCGAAAGCCUGAUCCAGCCAUGCCGCGUGUGUGAAGAAGGUCUUCGGAUUGUAAAGCACUUUAAGUUGGGAGGAAGGGUAGGUAACCUAA